ACACCCCUUAAUUAAAUUAUCUUGUUUUAUUAUGUACAGCAAUGAAAGUAGGGACUCGGUGACCCACUCAGUGAGCAUGCUUAAUUGGUUUUUUCAUCCUCAUCAUGGUUCUUAUCACCAGCUGGACUGUUCUGACUUACAAGAAUUUUUUUUUCUUUUUUUUCUUUUUUUUUUUUUUGAGACGGAGUCUCGCUCUGUCGCCCAGGCUGGAGUGCAGUGGCGCAAUCUUGGCUCACUGCAAGCUCCGCCUCCUGGGUUCACGCCAUUCUCCUACCUCAGCCUCCCCGAGUAGCUGGGACUACAGGCACCCGCCACUCUCCUACCUCAGCCUCCCGAGUAGCUGGGACUACAGGCACCCGCCACUAUGCCCGGCUAAUUUUUUGUAUUUUUGGUAGAGACGGGGUUUCACCGCGUUAGCCAGGAUGGUCGCGAUCUCCUGACCUCGUGAUCCACCCGCCUCGGCCUCCCAAAGUGCUGUGAUUACAGGCGUGAGCCGCCGCACCGAGCCCCAAGAAUUUUUAAUAGCCAUCAUGCUGCCUAGACUCGUCAUGGCAAACCCCUUCUUCUUUUUCUUCAUUCGCCAAUCACACAUGGCUUUGCCAAUAUCAUCUGGGCUAAACUAAUGAGGUCAGGAAUUGUGCAGUGCCUUUCAUUUCUAUUUUAAAAGACAUGAAGGAGUCAUUUGGCCUCUUUGUGCUGAGUUAGUAGAGCAAAACUGGGUCCACUCAAUUACAUUUUAAGUCCAUUGUAAUUGAGCUGGCUUCAUGAGAGAGCUGGCCUCAUGAGAAAGCUGGCCAUGGGCACUCACCCAUCUGAGUGAUUUGAAGUGACCUCAGAGAGUUCACUUGCUCCAAGGCUUUAAAUUCCCAUCAUUCAAGCUGGACCACAUGCAAUGUUCUUUUAAAAUCCCAAUAUCCUCCCAGAGGGAGUACAUUUUCUGCCUUCAUAGUGUUCACCUCUUGUCUUUGUUAUCCCAGUACCCUUCAUACUUUGGCAAAUGGCCUUCCUACCAUACCCUGCUGUCCUGGUAAACAUCUUAGGCAUGGGUCCCCCUCCUCCCUGUCUCAGGGUGGGCAUUUUACCCAGCCUGAGUCAUUCAUAGUGCAUGCCCCUCCUCCUCCUCACCCCCACAACAAAUGAUUGGUUUAGACAUGGGCUUUGAGAGGGACGGAGAAGGAAGUCAAUGACCUGGCCUACUGGAAUUGAGAAGCUUUCUCUAAAUCCAUAGAUGAGUAGCCCAAAUGCAAAAGAGGGGACACAGGGCUCUCUCCAUUUCUACCAUCUGGAUAUCAACACACAAGUGGAACUGGAAGCUGUGAGUUGAAGAUGGCCAACCUUCCAUCAUCCAGGCCCCCAUAACACCCAUGUCAGAACAGAGACUCCUGUUAACCUGGACCUUCCUUGGACUGUUUAUAUGAGCAAAAAUAAACUCCCAUAUGAGUAAGAAAAAAACUCCUGUAUGUUUUAGCAUUUAUACAUUUUUG
rnacentral:lncRNA from 1 species